rnacentral:misc_RNA from 1 species
AAGGAUCAUUACUGAAUUCAUGGAGUGUUGUCGCUGGCUCUUCGGAGCAUGUGCACGCACUUCAAAUUCAUCUUUACCACCUGUGCACUUUUGUAGACUGUGAUAACUCUCAAUGGUUUUUCCGUUGGAUUGAAGGACUUGCGUUUAGCUGUCUUUCGACUUCACAGUCUAUGUCUCAUCUACUAUAAAAAGUCUAGAAUGUAACUUGUGGGUCUUCUGACCUAUAAAACUUAUACAACUUUCAACAACGGAUCUCUUGGCUCUC